UACGUAGGGUGCAAGCGUUGUCCGGAAUUAUUGGGCGUAAAGAGCUCGUAGGCGGUCUGUCGCGUCUGCUGUGAAAACUCAGGGCUCAACCCUGGGCCUGCAUUCGAUACGGGCAGACUAGAGUUCGGUAGGGGAGACUGGAAUUCCUGGUGUAGCGGUGAAAUGCGCAGAUAUCAGGAGGAACACCGGUGGCGAAGGCGGGUCUCUGGGCCGAAACUGACGCUGAGGAGCGAAAGCGUGGGGAGCAAACAGG
rnacentral:rRNA from 1 species